GGCUGGAGCUCAGAUGCGUUGCUGUGACAGAGCCUGUGCCCGAGACCCUCCGUGACUGCUGUCUGCCAGGCAACACAUUUUGUGCUGCACAGCGGAGAGUCAAACCAGGCACUGUGCUUGUCACUCUGGAUAAAGCCUUUCAGUGACAACCCAACUGAUACAGGACUAAGCAGAGUAAAAUAUCUGAUAAUGAGUGCUUGCUGAACCAAUUUACACUCUCAAUAACCAGAGAAGACCCCAAAUAGCCAAAGCAAACUUGAGAAAGGAGAACAAAGCUGGAGGUAUCACAAUCCCAGAUUUCAAGAUACGCUACAAAGCUGAGUAAUCAAAACAGUUUUCGGUCACAUGAAGCAAAUAUGGAAUUUAAUGAGCUCUACACAUAGAGGGAGACAAGAGCAGCCCCCCAAGGUGUCAGCUUUUAAAUGAUGUAGUGCAUCUAGGGAGUAAAUUGAUAACAGUCUAGAACCCCUUUGGCAUUAUGUAGCCUGUGGACAUUAAAGAGGUCACAAUAGUGUGACUUUUUAUAUUACUAUUUACGUAUGCAUGCAUGAAUGCCCACUGUGUGCUUGGAAUUUAUGUACAUAAUCACAUUUAAUCCUCACAGCCACCCUGUGGGGAAGAAGUAUUACCCCUAUCUUGCAAUGAGAAACGUGAGAAGCACAUGAGUGAAGUGCAAAAGUCAGAGCUGGGAUUUGUGCCUCCAAUUACUUACCCUCAAGGAGCAAUCAGCUUUGCAGACACUCCCAUCUCCUGCUCUUCCCAGACACUGUAUUCUCUUCCUACUUUCCUGGUUGAUCCCCCUGUAGUUCUUUUUCUUUAGUUGUCUUUUAAACGCAGGUUGUUAUGGGUUGAAUUGUAUCUUCCUCCAAAAUUCUCUGUUGAAUGUCUAACCCUCAGUACCUCAGAAUGUGGCCUUACUUGGAGAUCGGGCCUUUACAGAGAUAAGCAAGUUAAAGUGAGGGCAUAAUGUAGGCCCUAAUUCAAUAGGACUGAAUUUGGUGUCAUAGAAGAAAUGUGAACACAGACACACACAGGGAGAGCGUCAACGUGACAUAAAGAUGAAGGCAGAGAUCCGGGUGACGCUUCUACAAGCCAAGGAAAUCGCCGCAGAGGCAAGGAGAGAGGCCUGGAACAGACUGUCACUCGUGACCCUCAGAAGUAACCAACUCUGUUGAUACCUUGCUCCUGGACCUCUGGCCUCCAGAGGAGUGAGAUAAUAAA